rnacentral:pre_miRNA from 1 species
UCUCAGUGAUAUGCAAAGAAAGUGGGUUCUUGAGAUGGAAUCUACUCUUGGUGAAGAUACUGUGGA